rnacentral:piRNA from 1 species
AACGAACUGAUACAUAUUUCUCCAAA